CCGACAGUUGUUUUGUGCGGUAAAGCGAAUGAUUAGCGCAUUUCGGGGGCGUUUAGCCUUUGGGCGAUUCUCAAACUUUCAAUGCGCAAGGGUGCCGCUGCUUAAUUGAGCGGUACCGGUAAAAACGUCGGCCCUGUGGGCCACUUUUGGUAAGCAGAACUGGCGAUACGGGAUGAACCGUAAGCAUGGUUAAGGCGCCAAACUGCCCGCUUAUAGACCCCACAAAAGGUGUUGAUUCAUCGAGACAGCAGGACGGUGGCCAUGGAAGUCGGAAUCCGCCAAGGAGUGUGUAACAACUCACCUGCCGAAUGAAUUAGCCCUGAAAAUGGAUGGCGCUGAAGCGGGCGGCCGACACCAUGCCGUCUGGACAAGAAAUGUUUUCAGAUGAGUAGGAGGGCGUGGCGGCCGUGUCGAAGCGCGCUUGCAGAAGCGUGUGGAACGGCCGCUAGUGCAGAUCUUGGUGGUAGUAGCAAGUAUUCAAGCGAGAUCCUUGAAGGGCGAAGUGGGGAAGGGUUUCACGCGAACAUUGAUUGGGCGUGAGUGAGUCGUUCCUAAGCCGAGUGGCAAUUGCUAAUUAACGGCGAAAGGGAAGCGGGUUGACAUUCCCGCACACGGAUGUGGAGGCGGCGACGCAUUAUUGGGGCGAACACGCUGGCGAUGGCGCUGGGCAGAGUUGUCUUUUCUGUUUGACCGCUUGCGCACGCAGUGUGGAAUCCGCUUGUCGGGAGAAACACGCGUGUACGGGCAGAGCGCUGGGGCUUUUCCAGCGUCCAGCUCGCCAUCGACGGCCCUUGAAACUUUGCCUGCUGAAUUUAAGAUCCACGCCGUGGCGUACCGAUCACCGCAUCAGGUCCCCAAGGUGAACAGCCUCUGCUCAAUAUGAAAAAUGCAGGUAAGGGAAGUCGGCAAAUUGGACCCGUAACUUUGGGAAAAGGGUUGGCUCUAGUGCUGCGUGGGAGUGGUUG
rnacentral:rRNA from 1 species